rnacentral:rRNA from 1 species
UACGGAGGGUGCGAGCGUUGUCCGGAAUCACUGGACGUAAAGGGCGCGUAGGCGGCCUGAUAAGUAGGGGGUGAAAUCUUGCGGCUUAACCGCAAGGCUGCCUUCUAAACUGUCAGGCUAGAGCACAGUAGAGGCAGGUGGAAUUCCCGGUGUAGCGGUGGAAUGCGUAGAGAUCGGGAAGAACAUCAGUGGCGAAGGCGGCCUGCUGGGCUGUUGCUGACGCUGAGACGCGACAGCGUGGGGAGCAAACAGG